UACGUAGGGGGCAAGCGUUGUCCGGAAUCAUUGGGCGUAAAGGGUGCGUAGGCGGGUCUUUAAGUCAGGGGUGAAAUCCUGGAGCUCAACUCCAGAACUGCCUUUGAUACUGAGGGUCUUGAGUAUGGGAGAGGUGAGUGGAACUGCGAGUGUAGAGGUGAAAUUCGUAGAUAUUCGGAAGAACACCAGUGGCGAAGGCGACACACUGGGCCAUUACUGACGCUGAGGCGCGAAAGCGUGGGGAGCAAACAGG
rnacentral:rRNA from 1 species